CAGGAGCAGGGGAUGAAUCCCAUGGGAUGUACCCACAGCCCCCAAAGGCUCCAGGCUGUGCUCCCACCAGGAAAGGUCCUGCCAGGUGCAGGUGGAGGGAACACCCACAGCACCCAGGAGGAUCUGCCCCGUGCCAGGGACUGGCUCAGCACCUGCACCUCAGCUGCCAAGAUCUCCAUUAGGAGGUUUGUGUUUCCUUCCAACAUUAAAGAAUCUCUCUAACAUCUGUAGCGAUGAGCAGUGAAGAGUGUCAGUUCUGCUUCUGAAACAAGCAGUGCCACCAUUUGAAGGAGGAAAAACGUGAAAUAAUGAAUAUGCUUCUGCAGAUCAGGCUGCUGUGUGUAACAGGAGAUGUGCAAAGCCUCGUGCCAGGUUUGAUCUCCCGAGUUUCUCCUCUCCACCUCUAAGGAGUGCAGUUAUUUGUGCAAAACUUGGAGAAAGUAUUGCCCAAAGUGCCACAGAACACUGCAAGAGCU
rnacentral:lncRNA from 1 species